rnacentral:lncRNA from 1 species
UAUCGACUGAAAUAUCGAUAUUAGAGAGAACCCGUUUAUUAUUUGAGAGAGAGAGUAGGAUAAAACUAGUUAGAACCGUUCUUUGAAAAUAACAAAUGGUCGAUGUCUUAAAUUGUCAUCAAACUCGUUAAAAAAAAAUAGAAUUAAAUAAAUGAACGUUAUUCAAGAAAAACUAAUAAAUCUUUACACACAAGUUAUGUUAAAUAAUAAAAUAAAAUUAUCAUCCGACUCACUGUGAAAAAGAAAGGAUUGGAGUUCAAUGUGGUAUCUGGAUUAUGGAUUGUCUCUUGUGUUCGGGGCACUAACUAAUUUUCUGGAUUGUCUACAGGAUUCUUCUUACGGGAAAUUGAACUGUUUGUUCUUCGGAAAUAGGGUCUUGGAUGAUCUCGAAGAAGUAUCGGUAGUUCUUGGAAUAGGUUGUAGGAUGAUUCUCUUUUUAUUUUAAUAUUACAUACAUUGGAGUACACGCCAAAUUUCAACAAUGAGUAAAGUUAGAAAAAUUCAAAUUUAAAUCAAGGAUUUCUUUCUCAAAAUAACGUUAAAACCUCAAAAGAUGGAUGAAAAAUGUGCUUUAGGAGCUGAACUAUAAUAAUUGAUACAUUUGGAAGUAAACAAAACGGUUUAAGAUAAGAUUUUCACCAACAAAAAAUCUCUCUGUCACAAAUUCUAGGUUAUGUUCUCUCGGUGAACUAAGAGAAUGUUAAAAUUAUUACAGUAUAUUA